rnacentral:rRNA from 1 species
CCUACGGGGGGCUGCAGUGGGGAAUAUUGGACAAUGGGCGAAAGCCUGAUCCAGCCAUGCCGCGUGUGUGAAGAAGGCCUUCGGGUUGUAAAGCACUUUCAGUGGGGAAGAAAGCCUUGGGGCUAAUACCCUCGAGGAAGGACAUCACCCACAGAAGAAGCACCGGCUAACUCCGUGCCAGCAGCCGCGGUAAUACGGAGGGUGCGAGCGUUAAUCGGAAUUACUGGGCGUAAAGCGCGCGUAGGCGGUCUGAUAAGCCGGUUGUGAAAGCCCCGGGCUCAACCUGGGAACGGCAUCCGGAACUGUCAGGCUAGAGUGCAGGAGAGGAAGGUAGAAUUCCCGGUGUAGCGGUGAAAUGCGUAGAGAUCGGGAGGAAUACCAGUGGCGAAGGCGGCCUUCUGGACUGACACUGACGCUGAGGUGCGAAAGCGUGGGAAGCAAACAGGAUUAGAUACCCUAGUAGUC